rnacentral:misc_RNA from 1 species
AUUUCCUAGAUUUUACUUGACCAAGGGAAAAUCAUUGAGGAAUACAUCGAAUAAGCCAUCAGCAGGAUCAAAAGUUAGCCAGACAUUAGAUACCAGUAUAUUUUAUGGUAAGCUCUGAAGCAAGUUAUAAUUUUUUUUACAACCGUAGCAUCAAGGCCAGCUUGUGCACACCUCAGCUAAUUCCACAGGAUACUACCACCAAAAAGGUAGGAACAGGUCCCCCGUAACCUUGUCCACCAAGGGCCAAGGCUAGAUGGGAUGAAAUAGCGAGUUGUAACUUUCUAAAUGUGUGAAUAUAAGCACAGCUGAUGUGCUCUGUGCAGAGUUGAUGAUAA